rnacentral:rRNA from 1 species
UACGUAGGUGACAAGCGUUGUCCGGAUUUACUGGGCGUAAAGAGCGCGCAGGCGGUCGAUCAAGUCGAGUGUGAAAGCCCCCGGCUCAACUGGGGAGGGUCAUUCGAUACUGAUCGACUCGAAGGCAGGAGAGGGAAGUGGAAUUCCCGGUGUAGUGGUGAAAUGCGUAGAUAUCGGGAGGAACACCAGUGGCGAAGGCGACUUCCUGGCCUGUUCUUGACGCUGAGGCGCGAAAGCUAGGGGAGCAAACGGG